CCUGCCUCCAGGAUGUAUACUAGGUGUUUCUUUUGUGCCACACAUGUGUCAAUAGGUGCCAUAGAAGAGAUAGGAUGUGUCUCUGAUCAGUAUUCUGACCAAUAAACAUCGGAAUAAUUAGUAUCCUAGCAUU
ensembl:snoRNA LOC120102704 small nucleolar RNA SNORA17